AAAUAAAUCUUAUAAAAUAUUAACUUUUGUUAAUCUCUGAAUGAACCAAAAUUGUGUUAAUCUGAUUUAAACCCUUAGUAAGAAAAGAAUUAACCAGGUAUCUUAUAAAAAACAAUAAUCCUGACCUCUUUCUCAGUUCACUGAAUUUGUUUCUUGCCAUUCUGUACCUUUACUGUUCUCAUUAAAUUACACUUUUUUUUCUUUAAACAAAUAUUUCACGUAUCAUGUAUAGUUAUUGAAAAGCUUCUUCAAGUCUGUUUUGGUUCUAGCCAGUUAGACUUUUGUUUUGCCAGUGUAGUGAAAAUAAUGAUUAGAGUUAAUGUUUUAUGGAGUUACUUUUAACACUGUAUAUGAAAUUUUAAGCUUAAUAAGGGACUUCUGUGAUUUUUUAAUUAUAAAAUUGUGUUAAAGAGCUCAUUUCAUGGCCUUUUUCAAUACUCCUCUUAGAAGCUGAAAGAUAAUGCUCUCUCUGAUGUGUACUUAUUAUUUUGUCCAGCAGAUUCCUCAGAUAAAACUCUGAAAUCCUUGGGCAGAAAUGCUAGUGACAGCAAUGACUGCUUUAGGUAGAAAUCAGUCAGUUGUUGCUGUAUUAUAGAGUUUCUGGAGGAAAAAAAAAAAGUUCUGGGUCAGAAAAUACUGAUCAGUUAUAUCCAACCCUUGUUGAAAACAUCCAGAUAUUAUUUGUCACCAUAUAAAUGAGAAAGAGAGACCCUCAGCUAUCCUAUGAUAGCCAAACAGAGUCUGAAAUACAGGAGGGCUACGUAUAUGCAGGUGCUUGUACCCAAAAAGUGAUCAUACAGAAGAGAACAGGAGAGAAAGAGACCCACCUCAGCAUAACCAGCAGGCUGGAGGCUCAGGUAUUCACUGGAAAAUGAGAUACCAACACCAGCAUCCCUAAGCUGUAAUGAUGAGAGAAGAAAUAAGAUCAGGGAUCUGACAGGUAUAUCCUCUGCACUUGCAUGAGCAAGGAUAUAUUUUCUUUCUCUCAUUUUCCUCUUCUGAAUACUCCUGGAUUCGUUCCAACAUGAGAGUUAAGGAAAAAUCUUUGUGGAGUAGCAAUAGUGUUUGCUGUCCAGUUGCAUGCCACAAUGAACAGGCACAUGCAGUUAUUUUUACCUGGACUACUAAAAAUAUUCAACCAAAAAUCUUUGUUUAAAGGAGUACACUAACAAAACAUGACUAACAAAACAUGACUAACUGCAGUCGUUCCACUCCUGGCCACAGAAUAAUGCGUUCACACACGUGGUAACACGCAGUGGGACAUUUUAAAACACAGUUUUGCCUUUUUACAUGGUUUAAACCUCUAAGUCCUUAAUUGCAAAGUAGACAGAAAGUUCCAAAAGGAUGUUGCAGUUUUCAUCUUUGUUGCUGCUGUAUGUUUAUUUUUUGUGGUUUUGACUUCAGAUAAAUGUGCUCGUAAACUUUCAUUUAUUUCUUGUUACCAUUUGCUCUUUCACUGCCCAGUUUCAAGCACAAAUGAAGACUGUAAAAGAUGCUAUACAAUGGACAACAAAGGAAUUAUGAAGUGUGAGGACCACUAUGUGCUUCCCUGGCCAUGUGCUGCAGGACUGAACUGAUUGUCCUACAGAGGGAAAGCAAAUGGCUCUUUUUUUCAUACCCACCAGCAACUUCACCAGCCAUGGGUGCCGUCCACUGCACUCACAGGAAUUGCUGCUCGUCUGACAUUUUCAAGCCUUCUGCAGUUUUAGUGAGGUUCAGUUUUACUCCCCGGGUAGAUCUGUCAACGCACUUUACAUAUGCUGUCAGGCAAAGGCUGGAUAUUGCCAACUUUAAGUUAUUUCUGAUUCAGACUGCAAACUUGUGUGUGAAACAGUGGGUAUUCGGGUUAUGCAACUUUUGUUGCAUGAUACCUUUUGAUACCUAUCUUUUGUAAGGAUAGUCUCUUAUCUCUUUUUAGCCAGUGGAGUAAAACAGGACUUAUGCAGAGAGAAAUUCAGAAUAAGGACAUAGCUUCAGCACUCAGAUCACCCUAAUUAACCUCAGUCUCUCUACUGGUUGUAGGUUACUGAUCCUCUCUGACCAAGAGCCUCUCCACAGCUGCACUGUGUUCUCUGAACACACAAACAGGCAGAAGCAGAACUCGGUGCCAAAUUUUCAAGAGCUUAGCACAUAACUGCCCAGCUUCCACUUUGACAUCAGAAUAAGAUUUUAAGAAUUGAGAAGGCAUUGCUAGUUACCUAAUGUACUCCUUUGUAAAUCUCUGUGGGGACAAUGCACUCUCUUCGGAGUUUUGGCUCUAGCUUUUCAAGAGCCACCCUAAAAGCUCAGUACUGUCGUGAGAAGAGAUGACUUAUCUGUCUGCCCUUGCGCAGCAGCGCAGGCCCACACAAACACAGUUUGGUUCCAUGUUGUUGCCUGGGGUGAUAUCAGAUGCAAAUAACGUGAGUAUUUGAAUGGAAUUCACAAAGUGUAUGCUUUUAAGAUAAAGUAGAGCCAAGUCCUGCUGCUGCUGCUUUGGAUGCAAAUGUAUUUGUAAUGAACUCUGGUUUUGUACGUAUCCCUUAUCUUGCACCUGUUAUCAUCUUUGUUGUAAAAAGCUUACAGGCAGGCUUGCCAAAUGAUACGCCCCAUCUGUGCUACCUGGAUAAACACUGUUAGCAAGAAACAUGCAAACUGAAAAGCCACAGGUUCUUGACGGACAGGUACCAGUGCUGUUGCUCUGGCUAGCAAGGACAAGGUCUUUGUGUUCUUUCAGCAAGUUGCCAGCCUUUUCUUGUUUGCAAUUCUUGUGAAGCUGUUGGGAGGGAGAUGAGAGGGAGAGGAAGCUGGGGGUGUGCAAACUGGUCUUUGGCACGCAGAUGAAGUCAGUGGCAAAUAUAAUGAGGAUUUCAAUGGAAUCUACAAAGCAAAUGUGUUUUUGCCAGGGCCAAGAUAGAGCUAAAUGUUGUGUCUGCUGUGUUGGAGGCAGAUGCAUUUGUUGUCAACGCUGCUCUUGUUUAUAUCUUUUUGCUUGGACCCCUGCAAACCAGACCAGCACCUGGAGGGAGGGAAGGUGAAUAAUGGGAAACUGCAUCGCUAGGACUUGUCCCUGGGAAGUCUGGGAAGAAGUGACAUAGCAGAUGUGGCAAGGAACUUGCAAGAGGGAGCACUAUUGAAUAACCAGGGCGCAAGGCCGGUAGGUUGGAUUCUGAAGUCCUGUCACUAAGUUCCUGUGGCAACGUGUGUGCUGCCUGUGAUGGUCACAUCUGAGGGCGGCUGACGCCUCAUGGUUCCUGGACCAAGUCAUUUCAACAGCUGUUAGCAGCUAUAUUUAACUAAGUCAGCAGGAAGACAGGGUGGUAUGAGACCCGUCCCACCAGGGAAACAUCCCCAGGCCUGUUUCCACUUUGCUACCUGAGACAGAGGGGAUGAGAGCAGCAGAUCUUGGUGUUCCUGGGCAUGGACCACUCCCUGCUCUGCCAUUCACCCUCUGCCUCGUGCUCCCUGCACAGGCAUGCUGGUGCUUGCUGCCUCUGUGUGUUAGAGCAAGGUAGAGGGUAGAACUUGGCAUCGUGAGCACCCUGUCCUAGGCCUUGAGUUACAAGGGAGUUCAUCCAGUGGCAUUUAGCCGAAACAAAAGACACCAACGGGGCAUUUGUUCCUAUUGCUGCCUGCCACGUAGGGUGUAUAUCAACAAGAAAGGAAGGGUGCCACACCUUGACCCCCCAGUCAGUCCCUGAGGGUAAUCAAUAACCUGGUUACUCUGGCAGAGGCCGUGAUGGUGGCGUCUUUCAGCACUUGGAUCCCUUCCACGAGACGCAAGCCAGGAACCUCCUUCUUCUGCUGUUUAGAAAACCAGUGGCCUGAGGGGAUCCCACUUCAUUAUGGUCAACCCCUGACCUGUCCAGGAACUUUAACCAGGCUCCAAACUCUUGCAGGGCUGAGCGUGCUGCCAGGCAGCUGAGCGAAACACUGCAGAUUUGCUGGCAGUGAUACAACACGCCGAGCACCCUUGCCGCCUGCAAGGCUCCUGUAGAGCUUGUAAAAGGGCUCGGGGAAAACUUUCCAUUCAGAGCGGGCAUUCGUAGGGUGCUGGUGUGCCCGUCUCUGGGGAUGAGACAAUGCUUUGGGAAAGUCACAUGUAACAAACAGCUAGCAGCAACAUGUCUGAAGUUACAGGUCACAGACGUGCAUUCGUUCCUUCUUAACUUUUGGUCUCUGCCUCCCAGCGGCUGCUUAUGCCAUGAAACUAGCCUCUUCUCUCUCCUUCCUCCACCAAAGCCCCUGACGACAAGUACCAUGCUGUCCCAUGCAUUAUUCAGGCCAGGCAGCCAGCAGCUUAGCAAGAGUGCCCCAAACCCUGCUCGUUUCUUUUUGAAGAGAUAGUGCCUGCCUGGGUGUCUCUGACAUCCACACUUCUCUGCCUACCGCAAGUGUUUUACACCGCACAGUCUGAGGUCAAGGGCCCUUCUGUGGGCCGAGCAGGGAAACAGAAGCUCCAAGAGCCUCAGAAAUCUCCACAGAGGUGCUGUUCUCACUCCUCAGACAUAAUCCCUCCCAGCUCUGCUUGACCAAAGUGAUUUGUCUCAUCUAGGGGGCCAAGGAGAGGGGACACGUCUGGGCAGAAACUGGAGGGAGGACUUCAGGGGAUUUAAGUGCUGACAUCUGCAGAGAAACAGAAGAAUUAUUGAGAACCUUAAAGGAGAAAGGAGCUUUAGGUUGUAAGAUUGACGACUAAAAACCAUGGGGAAGUAAUCCUUUCUCCAUCAGUGUGGCAAAGCUUCAGUCCUGGGAGGCAGGAGGUUUCAGACAGCAAUUACAGCAAUUGGAUGGCAUUUCACUGGCCGGUCUCUAGCAAACGCCUACCAUGAGUCAAAUCAUCAGCAAAAUGUGGCAAGUGUGGUGGUGUAAUGUCAUGUAACAGCAAGUCAGUGUCUUGUUCUAAUAUUUUAAUGACAACCCUCUGAAUUAGAACAAGUUUUCAGAAAGUGGUUGUUAUUCACACAUAAUGAUCUGGGCUGCAGAAAUGCCCUUGGGAGGGUAGAGCUAAUAAAAUAAGCAGCUAGUUAGUACAAACUUCUUCAUUUAAUUUUAUUGUGUGGAGGGCAGCACAGUUUUCUCACAUGAGAAAGGCGCUGCUGUUGCCUGGAAAGUUUCCAUACAGCCUUGCAGCUUCUGAAUUGCUCCGGUCAAAGGUGUCAGUCAGAAGUUUGCUGCAGUUUCACCGCUGUUAACGUGAACAUCUGUAUGUAUUUCAUGGCUUGGUUUUAUUUGAAAAGCAGUGUAUAGCUGUAAAAUAUUAGUCAUUAAUUCGGCACCACUUAGCUGCAAAUUAUUAGUCAUUAAUCUGGCGUUGUUGCCAGGUUUGUGCUCUAAUUCAGUUGUUCUUGAUUGUAAAACAACGUAUUGCAAAUGAAAUACAAGAUCGCUUUUUGUUUCUUCUGUUGCAGGGAUGCAUUUAAGAAGCCAUCUCUUGUGCUUCCUUCCAUCUGGGAAGUUAGCAAACCUGCACGGCUCUGUGAGACAACACUGGUGCUGCCUGCUAGCCAUGACUAACGCAUGCACAGCAUGGCAAUUACAGCAGAAGGAAGUUUAAAAUAAUUUCGUUAGUGUUUGGAGCACGAGGUUCAUCUCCAGCCAGACCUCAGACUCUGCUUUCCACAACAUGAAGAUCGCUGAAGUACUCUUAUAUAAGCCUAAUUGACACAAUUAAAAGAAUGACUGCUUACAGAUGUGUGUUGCUGUAGCAACCUGGGGCAAAGGGAGCCAAAGUGCCCUCCAUACUUAGAAAAAUAAUAUUAAUCAUAAUAGGUAGAAGCACUUUAUCCUUUUUAUAAGACAUUUGCUCUGGAGCCAAGAGCCUUAGCAUGUUGCAACAAGGAUCACUGCACUGGAGCUGAAAUAAUUUGAAGAUGAGCUAAAAUGCUCUCAGUAAUAAGCAAAAUUACACGGAGACAGAAACAUAUUCAGAUGGUCUCUAACCCUCCCAGGAUGUAGGCAACAGGAUUAGUUGUUCAAGGCUUUGAUUCUGCUGCCAUAGGGACACCGGGUGAAGGAAAAUACCAAAGGCAUGGAUACCAAUACCAAAGGAUGCAGGAUGAGGCCUGAACUGCUGAGCUUGGCCAGGGUUUGUCUUACCUAAGGGUCUGACUGCCCAGAUCUCCACGAGCAAGCUUUAAAUCCCCCCGCAACAUCCUUUGUUUCAGAUGGGCUCUAAGCAGCUCCGUGCUGUUGACAGAAAAUGGCAACAAGUCUCCUAUUUUCCCAGCAAGGCAGAGCUGGAACAGGGCUUUGUAGACUGGAUACGAACGCUUUUAUUCUUGACUCUGCUUUGCUUGUCCCACUAAAACGGCAGGUUUCAUCAAACGUAAGUCUCUCUGAAGUGUUGAAGGGACCACACGAAUUACCCGAGACACACGACUUAGGACUUGUUUUAAUGAACUCUUUUGAUGUAAAGCCAAUGAUAUGUAUUUUGACCGGUAUGAGUGCGGCUUCAAAUUUAUUAUUUUAACUAAAACAGUUUUUAACUUUGUCUUGACAACUUUGCAAUUUAAACACAGUCACGCUGUGUUGCUACGGAGUACAAGAAAAACCUGAAAUCGGUGCUGACUGGGACUGAACAAUCUGAUUUCCAUUUCCAAAGUAAAGAAGCAAGUGAAUAGCAUGGACAAACAAGCAAGUCUGAAAAAAAAAACAACCAAACAACCAAACAAAUAAACAACAAAAAAAACAACAAUAACA